rnacentral:rRNA from 1 species
AACGAACGCUGGCGGCAGGCCUAACACAUGCAAGUCGAGCGAAGCCUUCGGGCUUAGCGGCGGACGGGUGAGUAACGCGUGGGAACGUGCCCUUUGGUACGGAAUAGCCCCGGGAAACUGGGAGUAAUACCGGAUGUGGUCGAGAGACGAAAGAUUUAUCGCCAAAGGAUCGGCCCGCGUUGGAUUAGGUAGUUGGUGGGGUAAUGGCCUAUCAAGCCGACGAUCCAUAGCUGGUUUGAGAGGAUGAUCAGCCUCACUGGGACUGAGACACGGCCCAGACUCCUACGGGAGGCAGCAGUGGGGAAUCUUAGACAGUGGGGGAAACCCUGAUCUAGCCAUGCCGCGUGAUCGAUGAAGGCCUUAGGGUUGUAAAGAUCUUUCAGUGGGGAAGAUAAUGACUGUACCCACAGAAGAAGCCCCGGCUAACUCCGUGCCAGCAGCCGCCGUAAAAC